rnacentral:rRNA from 1 species
UGGGGAAUUUUGGACAAUGGGCGCAAGCCUGAUCCAGCCAUGCCGCGUGUCUGAAGAAGGCCUUCGGGUUGUAAAGGACUUUUGUCAGGGAAGAAAAGGAUAGGGUUAAUACCCCUGUCUGAUGACGGUACCUGAAGAAUAAGCACCGGCUAACUACGUGCCAGCAGCCGCGGUAAUACGUAGGGUGCGAGCGUUAAUCGGAAUUACUGGGCGUAAAGCGGGCGCAGACGGUUACUUAAGCAGGAUGUGAAAUCCCCGGGCUCAACCUGGGAACUGCGUUCUGAACUGGGUGACUAGAGUGUGUCAGAGGGAGGUAGAAUUCCACGUGUAGCAGUGAAAUGCGUAGAGAUGUGGAGGAAUACCGAUGGCGAAGGCAGCCUCCUGGGAUAACACUGACGUUCAUGCCCGAAAGCGUGGGUAGCAAACAGGAUUAAAUACCCUGGUAGUCCACGCCCUAAACGAUGUCGAUUAGCUGUUGGGCAGCUUGACUGCUUAGUAGCGAAGCUAACGCGUGAAAUCGACCGCCUGGGGAGUACGGUCGCAAGAUUA